rnacentral:tRNA from 1 species
GCGUUUCUGGUGCAGCGGCGGGCGCAGGGGCCUCACCCGCCCGCGUCGGUGCAGGCUGGUCGCCGGCCGGCGCUUCCUUUUCGCCGGACUGCGC